rnacentral:rRNA from 1 species
UACGGAGGGUGCAAGCGUUGUUCGGAUUUACUGGGCGUAAAGCGCGCGCAGGUGGGUGUGCAAGUCGGAAGUGAAAUCCCAGGGCUCAACCCUGGGGCUGCUCCCGAAACGGCACGCCUAGGGACUGGUAGAGGCUGGUAGAAUUCCCGGUGUAGCGGUGGAAUGCGUAGAGAUCGGGAAGAACACCAGUGGCGAAGGCGGCUCACCUGGCCCGGUACUGACGCUGAGGUGCGAAAGCGUGGGGAGCAACAGGAUU